UGCUUUUUUAUAUGGAGAUUAACAUGGUCACCCCCUCCCCCCAGAGGAAUGAAAACACCCUUAGGGGACCUCUAAUCUAAAGAGAUGAAAAGAGAAGGUAUUAUUCUGGUGUUAUGCCUGCUCAGCUUCCUUCCUUUUUCUUGUGUUCUAAUGGAGACUAGCUACUUUCAUUUCUUUUUUUUAAAAAAAAAAUAUUAAUUGGUGUUAUUUUUAAUUAUGUGUAUGAGUGUCUGUGUAUGGCUAUGUGUAAGUGAGGACAGGCACAUGAGGAAUCUAGAGACUGCAGGUCCCUCUGGAGCUGGUAUUUCAGGCAGUUGUAACCUGCCUAUGUAGGUGCUGCAACCCUAAUUCAGGUCCCCUGAAAGAGCAGGGCCUGCUCUUCACCACAGCACCAUCUCUGCAGUGUGGCUGCUCCAGCUUCUUAGUCUAGGAGAGAUCGGUGAGGCUAACCAUAGUACGCCUUCAUCUCCAGAAAGGACUCUGGAGGCGCCUUGAUUAACUCUAAAUUGGGGACUUUCUUGGGUGUGGGAAGUUAUUUUUUUUUUUAAAUAGAAAAUCAGAAGAGUAAUAAACAAAUUGGAGCGAGUUGGUAAAAACUGACCCAAACCUGGUCUAUUGGAACAAUUCCACUCCACUACCUGAAAGAUUUUGU
rnacentral:lncRNA from 1 species